CCUACGGGAGGCAGCAGUGAGGAAUAUUGGUCAAUGGGCGCGAGCCUGAACCAGCCAAGUAGCGUGAAGGAUGACUGCCCUACGGGUUGUAAACUUCUUUUAUAAAGGAAUAAAGUGAGGCACGUGUGCCUUUUUGUAUGUACUUUAUGAAUAAGGAUCGGCUAACUCCGUGCCAGCAGCCGCGGUAAUACGGAGGAUCCGAGCGUUAUCCGGAUUUAUUGGGUUUAAAGGGUGCGUAGACGGGUUGUUAAGUCAGUUGUGAAAGUUUGCGGCUCAACCGUAAAAUUGCAAUUGAUACUGGCAGUCUUGAGUACAGUUGAGGUAGGCGGAAUUCGCGGUGUAGCGGUGAAAUGCUUAGAUAUCGCGAAGAACUCCGAUUGCGAAGGCAGCUUACUA
rnacentral:rRNA from 1 species